GAUGAACGCUGGCGGCGUGCCUAAUACAUGCAAGUCGAGCGAACGGACGAGGAGCUUGCUUCUCUGAUGUUAGCGGCGGACGGGUGAGUAACACGUGGAUAACCUACCUAUAAGACUGGGAUAACUUCGGGAAACCGGAGCUAAUACCGGAUAAUAUUUUGAACCGCAUGGUUCAAAAGUGAAAGACGGUCUUGCUGUCACUUAUAGAUGGAUCUGCGCUGCAUUAGCUAGUUGGUAAGGUAACGGCUUACCAAGGCAACGAUGCAUAGCCGACCUGAGAGGAUGAUCGGCCACACUGGAACUGAGACACGGUCCAGACUCCUACGGGAGGCAGCAGUAGGGAAUCUGCCGCAAUGGGCGAAAGCCUGACGGAGCAACGCCGCGUGAGUGAUGAAGGUCUUCGGAUCGUAAAACUCUGUUAUUAGGGAAGAACAUAUGUGUAAGUAAAUGUGCACAUAUUGACGGUACCUAAUCAGAAAGCCACGGCUAACUACGUG
rnacentral:rRNA from 1 species